GCUUCCCCGCCCGGCCGCCGCCAUGAUGAGGAGGUCGGCGCGGCUGUGCUGCGGGCAGGCAGCGGAGAGGGCUCGCGGCGAGGGCUCCAGCUUACCCCGCCGCCGCGUCGCGUGCACGGAGCGCUUCAGAGGUUUGGAGGGGGCCGGAACCUCAAAAGCAACUGGAUGAGCACAACGCGGACGCCCCGGAGAAGCGGCGCAAGCGGGCCCAAAAUGGUUGCUGAUCAGACGAGUGGCAUCUCUCGCCCCCCUACCGCGGGAAUUGGGACCUCCAGACUGUGCCUGGGGGAUCGGCAAGUGGUUCCCCUCUGGUUUUUUCGGCGCUGCCUUCCCGGUGGUUGGAGAUGGCUGGAAGAAAUGAAAAGAAGAACGCCAACAAAGGCGAUAAAGAAAAAUUCAACACUGCUUGAUAACUGAUGAGAUAGUGAAGGAGUAGGAGGGCAAAAGUCAGAAGUAAUUCCAGGUGUUCAAGAACUAAAUGCUGAAGAGAUGUUAGUGUCGUUGACGGUCUUCUAAUGGGAAGUGAAUUUCAAUAGAAAGAGGAUGUGUUUGGUUUCAGACAGACCGAGUGACUGGUGACAACAGGAAAGCCACGUGUUUGGAGCAGAUUACUCGGUACAGUCAGCAGCUGGAAUGGAAGUGAAGAAGGCCCAGCAGAGCAUCAGACCUGAGUGCAAACUAUGGUGGUGUUGGUGGAAUAGAGGGAAGGGAGAGAUUUGAGAGACAUUGGGAAGAAAGGUUUUGGUUUUUGAGACAGAGUCUUGCCCUGUCAUCCAGGCUGGAGUGCAGUGGCAUAAUCUUGGCUUACAGCAAACUCCACCUCCCGGGUUCAAGCAAUUAUCAUGCCUCAGCCCCCUAAGUAGCUGGAAUUACAGGCAAGUGCCACCACAUUCAGCUAAUUUUUGUAUUUUUAGUAGAGACAGGGUUUCACCAUCUUAGCCAGGCUGGUCUCAAACUCCUGACCUCAGGUGAUCCACCUGCCUCGGCCUCCCAAAGUGCCGGGAUUACAGGUGUGAGUCACCAUGCCCAGCCACCAGAAGUUUAAUCAAGGCUCAGAGACUGAUUCCAGUUUGAGUUUUCUAAUAACUGUCUAAUACUUAGCUAAUAGCUUUGGACAGUUGCUCUUUUUAAAAUGAGAUCAUUCAAUCAUUGCAUUCAUCUUUGGGUAUGACUCACUAGUCAACAGAGUCCCCCUUCUGUAGAAACUGCCUCAUUCACAGAGAUGACCUCCACCAGUCAUGCCUAUAUUUGAGACCCUGUCUCUCUUUAUCCCCCAUUGCUGCGUGAUUCAAGGGUGGUCACCUGACCCAGGCAGUGCCAAGUUUAUUCUCUGUCUUGGGAAUUUAGAAUGUUUGUUUGGCUAAGAGACACAGAAACUGGAAGCUGGAGCUGAUGAUGGAGCUGAUCACGCUAAUGAUGGAGCUAUAGAGAUAAGAUGCAUGAACACCACCGAGGUCCCCAAGAUUGCCAUAUUCCUGCAGUGCCUUCUGGCCACAGAUAGUUGGUCCAGAAGCAGGUUCCUGACUCAACCUGGGCCAAUUAGAGCCUUUCACGGAGAUUUUGAAAUCAAAGUUGAGAUCUCUCUUUCUCUCUAUGCCCUUUGGUGUAUGUGUACUUGAGCUACAAGUUACCCAACUUUGGAAGCUGUAGACAGAGGCAAUUUUCCACUAAAUGAAGUGAGAAACAGAAAGUCCAUCAUUAGUGAGAGAGGAGCAAGGCAGAUGCACACAGAGAAGCAGAUAGAGGGGAAGCGGGCGGGAGUGGGGCGGGAGUUCCUGGAGUCCCCACAGUGCUCUAGUUUCUGAUUCUCUUCCUAAGACCCACAGGAUUCCUGCCUUUGGGUUUCUUAAGUUCCUGAAUAGCUCCUGAUUGCCUUUGUCUUUUUUACGAAAGUCCUUUGAGCAUGGUUUCAGGUGAGCAGACAGUCCUAACCUAAAGAGCUGUAACAAAUACACGUGGGCUGUGUGUGAGAUUCGGGGAGAGGCACCAGGGAUCCAGUGUGGGUCAGGCGUGGUGCCGCCCUCAAGGAACUUAGUGGGGAGAAAAUGAAGUCUGUACUUCAAUAACUACAGUGCAGGCUAGGAAGAGAACACCCUUAGAGAUGUGCAAAUCAAGCUCUUUGGGAGUUUAGAGGAGGCCUAGGACUGCUAAGGAAAGGCUGGGACUAGGAAGAGGUAAGCAAGUCACUGAGGAGGCAAAAUUUAAGAAGCCACCCACUCUCAGGGUGUGUGAAUGCAGCGUUGGCACUUGCAUGACCCUGAGAAUGAGCAACCCCUUAAAUGUAUCUUAGGCACCUUGCCAGACUCACUUUUAGCUUGCUGGACUAAUUGUGGGGAUCAGUAGGCCUUCAGAGGAAAGUUAGUGUCUGAGCUGAACUGAAGGAUGGGGUGGUUUUGGACUUGGUGGCAAUGUCAUCUACCUCAAGGUAAAGUAACAAUAUGGAAAACGCUCCCGUGAAAAUUCACAAGGUCUGUUCUAGGAUCAUCAGGCUCUUCGGUGUGACUUAAGAGUUCAGAGCAUGAAGGAGGAGGGGGCAGUAAGAAAAAUGGAGAGAACGUAGCAUCAGAUUCUGCAGGCAAGGAGAAAAUUGCUAAGCUGGGAAAUAACAUAAUCAGAGCGGUACUUAAGAUGAAUCUAACGGAAUAGCAUGAAAUAAAGGAAAGGCUAAGGAGAGGACAAACAGGAGGCUAUUGUGGCAAUCCAGGCGUGAAAGUCUAAACUAAUCAGCACUGGGAAUAGAGAUGCCAUAGGAAAAAUAAUACAUCAUUAAUAUAACUUGGCAAUUGAGUAGAUGUUGGAGACAAGAGAGAAAUCAGAAACACUGCUAAACACUAUGCAGCUAUAACAAAGAAUGAGAGAGCAUUCAGUAAGAUCACAUCCAAGAUAUGUACAUGAAAAACACAAGGGAUAGAACUGUGUAUAUGGCAAGCUAUCACUUGCAUUUUUUAUUUUUUAAAUGGUAUUUAUUUAUUUCUUGUUUUUUCCUUUUUUUAAGACUAAAAAAUCAAUUAUAAAAUCCUCAACCACUUGACUUUUUUUUUAAGUUCCUGGGUACAUGUGCAGGACGUACAGGUUUAUUAUAUAGGUAAACGUGUGCUAUGGUGGUUUGCUGCACCUAUCAACCCAUCACCUAGGUUUAAGCCCCGCAUGCAUUAGCUCUUUUCCCUAGUGCUCUUCCCCCACCAUCCUCCCCUGACAGGCCCCGGUAAGUGUUGUUCCCCUCCCUGUGUUCUCAUUGUUCAGCUCCCACUUAUAAGUGAGAACAUGUAAUGUUUGGUUUUCUAUUCCUGCAUUAGUUUGCUAAGGAUAAUGGCUUCCAGCUCCAUUUAUGUCCCUGUAAAGGACAUGAUCUUGUUUUUUUAUGGCUGCGUAGUAUUCCAUGGUGUAUAUGUACCACAUUUUCUUUAUUCAGUCUAUCAUUGAUGGGCAUUUGGGUUGAUUCCAUGUCUUUGCUAUUGUGAAUAGUGCUGCAAUGAACAUACGUGUACAUGUAUCUUUAUAACAGAGUGAUUUAUAUUCCUUUGGGUAUACACCCUGUAAUGGGAUUGCUGGGUCAAAUGGUAUUUCCAGUUCUAAAUCUUUGAGGAAUCGCCACACUGUCUUCCACAAUGGUUGAACUAAUUUACAUUCCCACGAACAGUGUAAAAGCAUUCCUAUUUCUCUGCAAUCUCACCAGCAUCUGUCAUUUCUUGACUUUUUAAUAAUCGCCAUUCUGACUGGUGUAAGAUGGUAUCUCAUUGUGGUUUUGAUUUGCAUUUCUCUUUUUUUUUUUUUUUUUUUUUGAGACAGUUUCAAAAACUUGUUGCCAAGGCUGGAGUGCAAUGGUGUGAUCUUGGCUCACUACAACCUCUGCCUCCUGGGUUCAAGUGAUUCUUCUGCCUCAGCCUCCCAAGUAGCUAGGAUUACAGGUGUAUGCCACCACGCCCAGCUAAUUUUUGUAUUUUUACUAGAGACGGGGUUUCACUAUGUUGGCCAGGCUGAUCUUGAACUCCUGACCUCAAGAGAUCUGCCCACCUCCGCCUCCCAAAGUGCAGGGAUUACAGGCGUAAGCUUCCACGCCCAGCUGAUGGUAGUUUCUUUUGCUAUGCAUAAGCUCUUUAGUUUAAUUAGAUCCCAUUUGUUGAAUUUUGCUUUUGUUGCGAUUGUUUUUGGCAAUUUUAUCAUAAAAUCUUUGCCCAUUCCUAUGUCCUGAAUGGUAUUGUCUAGAUUUUCUUCUAGGGUUUUUGUAGUUUGGGGUUUUACAUUUAAGGCUUUAAUCCAUCUUGAGUUAAUUUUUGUAUAAAGGUGUAAGGAAAGGAUCGAGUUUCAGUUUUCUGCAUAUGGCUAGCCAGUUCUCCCAUCACCAUUUAUUAAACAGGAAAUCCUUUCCCCAUUGCUUGUUUUGGUUUGUCAAAGAUCAGAUGGUUGUAGAUGUGCGAUUUUAUAUGUGCUGCCAAAGUGAGCACUAUUUAUUUAUUUUUUUAAACAGAGUCUCACUGUGUUGCCCAGGCUGGAGUGCAGUGGCAUGAACAUAGCUCACGUAGCCUUAUUUGCAUUUGUAAAAGGGAAAUAUGUUUUGUUUUGUUUUUUGAGACAGAGACUCACUCAGUCGCCCAGGCUGGAGUGCAGUGGCACCAUCAUGGCUCACCACAGUCUCAACCUCCCCAGGCUCAGGUGAUUCUUCCACCUCAGCCUCUGGAGUAGCUAGGAUUACAGGUGUGCGCCACUACACCCAGAUAAUUUUUUUUUUCUUGAGAUGGUGUCUCGCUCUGUCACCCAGGGCUGGAGUGCAAUGGUGUGAUCUCGGCUCACUGCAACCUCCGCCUCCCAGGUUCAAGUGAUUCUCCUACCUCAGCCUCCCAAGUAACUGGGACUACAGGCACCUGCCACCACACCCAGCUACUUUCUGUAUUUAUAGUAGAGAUGGGGUUUCGCCAUGUUGGCCAGACUGAUCUUGAACUCCUGACCUCAGGUGAUCCACCCGCCUCAGCCCCCCAAAGUGCUGGGGUUACAGGCACAAGCCACCGUGCCUGGCCCUUUUUUUUUUUUUUUUGUAUUUUUUUAGUAGAGACGGUGUUUCACUGUGUUGUCCAUGUUAGUCUUAAACUCUUGGGCUCAAGAGAUCUGCCCAACUUGGCUUCCCAAAGUGCCAUAAAGGCAUGAGCCACUGCACCUGGCCAUAAAAAGGAAAUAUGUAAACAAACAUCUUUGCUUACAUAUGUUUAUAUAUCCCUAGAGAAAUACGUACAAAAUUGAUGACAUUAAGUGGCCUGUUUAAGAGAAGUGGGGUGGCUGGGGGUCAGUAGUGAAAGAGAGUCUUUUUAGUGUUUAUAAUUUGAAUAUUUUAAAUCUUGAACCUUUUGGAUGAAUUAGCUAAUGAAGAAAAUUAGUUUAAAUUGCUUUUAAAAAUAAAUAAGUAUGAGCCGGGUGCGGGGGCUCAUGCCUGUAAUCCCAGCACUUUGGGAGGCUGAGGCGGGCGGAUCAUCUGAGGUCAGGAGUUCGAGACCAGCAUGGCCAACAUGGUGAAACCCCGUCUCUACUAAAAAUACAAAAAUCAGCCAGGUCUGGUGGCAGGCGUCUGUAAUCCCAGCUACUCAGGAGGUUGAGGCAGGAGAAUCGCCUGAACCUGGGAGGUGGAGGUUGCAGUGAACUGAGAUCACGCCAUUGCACUCCAGCCUGGGUGACAAGGGCGAGACUUCAUCUCAAGAAUAAAUAAAUAGGCCAGGCACGGUGGCUUACGCCUGUGAUCCCAGCACUUUGGGAGGCCGAGGCGGGCGGUUCACAAGGUCAGGAGAUCGAGACCAUCCUGGCUAACAUGGUGAAACCCCGUCCUACGAAAAAUAGAAAAAAAUUAGCCAGGUGUGGUGGCGGGCGCCUCCCAGCUACUGGGGAGGCUGAGGCAGGAGAAUGGCGUGAACCCAGGAGGCAGAGCUUGCAGUGAGCCAAGAUCACUCCACUGCACUCCAGCCUGGACGACAGAGCGAGACUCCGUCUCAAACAAACAAUAAAAAUAAAUAAAUAAAUAAAUAAAAUAAUUAAUAAAUAAAUAAAUAAAUAUGUAAUCCCAGCACAUUGGGAGGUCAAGGAGGGUGGAUCAUCUGAGGUCAGGAGUUCGAGACCAGCCUGGCCCAGAUGGUGAAACCCCGUCUGUACUAAAAACAUGAAAUUAGCUGGCUGUGGUGCUGCAUGCCUGUAAUCCCAGCUACCAGGAGGCUGAGGCGGGAGAAUUGCUUGAACCCGGGAGGUGGAGGUUGGAGGUGGAGGUGGCAAUGAGCUGAGAUCACGCCAUUGCACUCCAUCCUGGGUGAUAGAGCCAGACUCCAUCUCGAAAAAAAAAAAAAAAAGACAUAAAUAAAUAAAUAACCCCAAAGCCCAAAUACGAUACUGAAGUAUGGAGCUGAGUGACAGUAGCUCCAUUAACAAAAAUAAAGAACUCAGGAAGGGAAGUGCACUUGAGAAAAAUAAUGAUGUGUUUGGCUUGGGAUAUACAGAGUCUGAGAUGCCAGUUGUACAUACAUAAAAGAGAAGAAGCCCAUAAGCAACGGAGGAGGGCAAGCAAUCCAAUAGGAAGUUUGAAACAGCUUUGUCGGAAUAGUUACUGUGGAGUGGUGCGAGCAAAAGCCAGAAUUCAAGAGGCAGCAGGAUGAAGGGAAAGUGGGAAUGUAUUGGUAACUAGAGUAGUGUCCUUUAAGAGUGGUGGAUGGAAAGGGAGUGAUGGAGAGGUUGUGAUAGCUAGCGAAAGCUUGGGAUCAAGGCAGCAUGUAUGUAUUGGGCAUGAGGGAGAUUGAACCUAGUUAGAGGCUUCUGGAAAGGAAUCAGUAGAAAAAGAGGUUGAAGUGAUGUUUUUUGUUUUGUUUUUUAAAAAAAGAGAAUUAUGAAUGCAGGGGGUUAGAAAACAAAAAACAAGGGGAAGAAAUUGAUGGAGGAAGCGUUCUAAGGUGAGAAAGCACAAAAAUGGCGGGGGACUGAAAGGAUGUGGGGCACCUCCACGUUUGAGAGACUGGAGGGGAAGAAGGAAGGACAGGAGAGGGUGUGGACUUGAGUGUUUGCAGGGGCCCUGGGAGGGAGAGAGAUGUCAGGCUGGUUGGUCCCUGCUUUUCUAUGAGGCAAGAAACAAAGUCAUCUGCUGGAAGGGCCCCCCACCGCCAGUCAACAGGGAGCGGGCAGCAAUGGCGAAGGUGUGGAACAGGCCUUGUGGAGGGAGAAGGUGCCAAACAAGGGCAGGCAAGGGAGCUGACCGCCAGCGUUGAGGACCCAGCUGAAACUAGGACCCACUCAGAUAUGUUGACACCAGUUGACAUGGCUCAUGCUUUCUGGAAACUUCAACAGCAGACCACAGACAUUCAGGUGGCUAACGCAUACUUUUGUUUGCUUGUUUUGAGCUUUCUGUUCUGUUAAGUGUCAACUUAGGGUUUUCUUGCUGGUUGGUUGGUUGGUUGGUUUUUCUAAUUAUGGUAAAAUAUAUUGUAUUAGUUUUCUAGGGCUGCCUUAAAAUCCCACAAACUGGGUGGCUUACACAACAGAAAUGUAUUCUCUCACAGUUCAGGAGGCUGGAAGUCUGACAUCAGGUGUCAACAGGGUUGGUUUCUCCUAAGGCCCCUCUCCUUGGCUUGCAGACACAACCUUCUAACUGUGCACGUGCAUGUCUGGUAUCUCCUUCCCUCUCCCUCUCUCUCCCUUUGUGUCCCAGUUUUUGUUUGUUUGUUUGUGUGUUUUGAGAUGGAGUCUUGCUCUGUCGCCCAGGCUGAAGUGCAGUGGCAUGAUCUCAGCUCACUGCAACCUCCGCCUCCUGGGUUCAAGCGAUUCUUCUGCCUCAGCCUCCCAAGUAGCUGGGAUUACAGGUGCGCACCACCAGACCUGGCUAAUUUUUGUAUUUUUAGUAGAGACAGGGUUUCACCAUGUUGGUCAGGCUGGUCUCGAACUUGACCUUGUGAUCCGCCCACUUUGGCCUCCCAAAGUGCUGGGAUUACAAGCAUGAGCCACCGCACCUGGCCUAAUUUCCUCUUCUUAUAAGGAUGCCAGUCAUACUGAAUUAGGGUUCUCACUAACUCCAUUUUUACUUAAUUACCUCUUUAAAGGCCCUGUCUCCAAAUAGUCACAUUCCGAGGUACUCAGGAUUAGGGUGUCAGGAUUCAAAUUGGCAGGAAGUGGGACGCAAUUCAGCUCAUAACAUACGCAUGACAUAAAUGUACCAUGUUAACAAUUUCGAAGUGUAUAGGUCAGCGUUUUUUGGGGGUUUUGUCUUUGCCUUUGUUUUUUAUGUAUUCAUGAUGGUUUGUGUGUCUUACUGCUUACUUGCUUUCUGUAACAUGAUGAUAUCCCAGGCAAAAAUAAGAUGUCUCAGGCUCAUUCUGGCCACAUACUAACAAUCAGCAUUCCUAUAAAAAGCCCAGGUUCCAGUUAGUGAGGAAUAUUUAUAGACUGCAAUUUAGACACUGGGAGAGAUCAUGACUACUGGGUUGUCAUUUCAAUGGACAGUGCUAUGAAAUAAGUAUUUUUGAAAACAACGAAAAUAGUUUAUAUCGAUAUUUCUGAUUCAAAUUUAACCAUCCAAUUGUUUAAUUAACCUUACUGAUUUUUUACCUAUAUCACUUUUCUCUUACACUGAAAAUAUUAGUUCUAAUAACAUUAAGACAAUUACCUAUUUGCUUUAUAAUGUAUGUAAAAUAGCUUCAAAGUAAUAAUCUCAAUAUUACUAUUUACAGCAAGACUAUUGAGGAAAUUGUGAGAUUUCUUUGCAUCUUUGUGUGCUUUAAAAAAAUUUUCCACUAAGGAUGUAUAGUCAAAAUACUAUGGUCUUGGCAGGGCAUGGUGGCUAACGCCUGUAAUCCCAGUGCUUUGGGAGGCUGAGGCAAGAGCUUGAGCCUAGGAGUUUGAGACAAGCCUGGGCAACAUAGGGAGACUGUCUCUACAAAAAAAAAAAAAAGUUUGUUUUGUUUUUUUGAGACAGUCUUGCUCUGUCGCCCAGGCUGGAGUGUAGUCGUGCAAUCUCGGAUCACUGCAACCUCCACCUCCUGGGCUCAAGCGAUUCUCAUGCCUUAACCUCCUGAGUAGUUGAGACUACAUACUUGGCUAAUUUUUGUUCUUUUAGUAGAGACAGGGUUCCACCAUGUUGGCCAGGCUGAUCUCGAACGCCUGACCUCAAGUGAUCCACCUGUCUCAGCCUCCCAAAGUGCUGGGAUUACAGGUAUGAGCUACAGCCCCUAGCCAACAACAAAAAAAUUUUUUUAAGUAGCCAGGCAUGGCGGGAUGCACCUGUAGUCGCAGCUACUCAGGAGGCUGAGUCAGGAGGAUUGCUUGAGCUCAGGAGUUUGGGGCUGCAGUGAGCCGUAAUCGUACCACUACACUCCAGCCUGGGUAACAGAGCAAGACCCUGUGUCAAGAAAAAAAACAAAAAAGAAAAAACUGUGGUCUAAAGACACUUGAAAUAAUCUUUUUCUCUUUGUUAUAAUACUAACUUGAGAUACACUUAAGCUCAUUAUUCCUGUUGUGUUAAAAAAUGUGUAUUGCCCACUUAAGUGUCUGCAUACUACUGUGGAAAGUCAUGGAAUUUUUUUAGUGUAAUUUUUGAAUUAUUUUGGAUUUUCUUCUUUUUUUCUUUCUUUUUACUUUCCUGUGUUAUUUUAGGAGGGAUAAUUACUUUAUUGGUUGUUUAGUAUUUUUUGAGAGACAAGGUCUCACUCUACCCAGGCUGGAGUGCAGUGGUGCAAUCACAGUUCACUGCAGCCUUGAACUCUUGGCCUCAAGCAAUCCUCCUCCCACCUCAGACUCCUGAGUAGCUGGGACUACAAGCACAUGCCAGCUAAUUUUUCUCUUUCUUCCUUCCUUCCUUCCUCCCUCCCUCCUUCCCUCCCUCCCUCCUACCUUCCCCUCCCCUCCUUUCUUUCUUUCCUUUUUUUUUUUUUUUUUUUUUUUAAGAUACAGGGUCUUCUCAUGUUGCCCAGGCUGAUCUCAAACAAUCCUCCUGCCCCGCCUCAGCCUCCCAGAGUACUGGGAUUACAGGUUUGAGCCACCAUGUCCAUUCCAUCUCUACCUUUUAAUUGGGAUAUGUACACUGUUUCCAUUUAAUUGAUGAUUGAUAUGGUUGGCUUUAAAUUUAUCAUCUUUUCUUUUUUUGAGACAGAGUUUUGCUCUUGUUGGCCAGGCUGCAGUGCAAUGGCGCAAUCUCGACUCACUGCAACCUCUAGCUCCCGGAUUCAAGCGCUUCUCCUGCCUCAGCCUCCCAAUUAGUUAGGAUUACAGGCACGCACUACCAUGCCCGGCUAAUUUUUGUAUUUUUAGUAGAGGCGGUGUUUCACCAUGUUGGUCAGUCUGGUCUCAAACUCCUGACCUCAGGUGAUCCACCCAUCUUAGCCUCCCAAGUGCUGGGCUUAUAGGCGUGAGCCACCACGCCAAGCCUAAUUUUUUGUAUUUUUAGUAGAGAUAGGGUUUUGCCGUGUUGGCCAGACUGGUCUCGAACUCCUGACCUCAGGUGAUCCGCCUGCCUUGGCCUCCCAGUGCUGAGAUUACAGGCGUGAGCCACUGUGCCCAGCCUAAAUUUAUCAUCUUACAAGUUGUUUUCUUUUUGUUCCAUGUGUUUCUUGUUCCUUUUCUCCAUUUGCUUGUUUUCUUUGGGACUGAGGGUUUAUUUUUCUUUUACAAUUCCUCGUUAUCUCUACUAUUGGCUUAUUAGCUAAACCUCUUUGUGUAUUUAUUUAUUUAUUUUUUUAGUGGUUGCUCUAGAUUUUACAAAUGUACACUUUUAUCACAAUCUCCUUUCAUUUGAUAUCACUUCACAUUUAAUAUAAGAACUUAACUGUAAUAUAAAUCAAUUUCUGCCAACCUGUCCCUUCUGCUAUUUUUGUCAUAGGUUCUUUUCUACAUAUGUUAUAAAUGCCACAGUACAUUAGCCUAUUUUCUCUAACAGCGAUUAUAUUUGACUAAUUUUAAAAUGAGGGUAGCAUAUGAAAAGAUGCUCAUUAUUUGUCAUCAGAGAAUUGCAAAUUUAAACCACAGUGGGAUACCACUACAUACCUAUUAGAAUGACUAAACUCCAGCCGGGCACGAUGGCUCAUGCCUAUAAUCCCAGCACUUUGGGAGGCUGAGGUGGGUGGAUCACGAGGUCGGGAGAUCCAGACCAGCCUGGGCCAACAUGGUGAAACCCCAUCUCUACUACAAAUACAAAAAUUAGCCAGGCGUGGUGGCAUGUGCCUGUAGUCCCAGCUACUCAGGAGGCUGAGGCAGGAGAAUUGCUUGAACCCAGGAGUUGGAGGUUGCAGAGAGCUGAGAUCCUGCCACUGCACUUCAGCCUGGGAGACAGAGCAAGACUCUGUCUCAAAAAAAAAAAAAAGAAUGAUUAAAAUCCAAAAAACUAACAAUACUAAUUGCUGGUAAGGACAACAAGCAACAGGAGCUCUUAUUCAUUACUGAUGCGAAUGUAAAAUGGUACAGCCACUUUAGAAAACUGGCAGUUUCUUACAAAUCUAAACUUAGUCUUAACAUAUGAUCCAGCAAACGCACUGCUAGGUAUUUACCAAACUAAUUUUAACAUUUAAGUCCUCUCAGAAACCUACAUGUGAUUGUUUAUAGCCACUUUAUUUUUAUUUUUUUGAGACAGAGUCUCACUCUGUUACCCAGGCUGGAGUGCAGUGGUGUGAUCUCGGCUCACUGCAUCCUCCACCUCCCAGGUUCAAGUGAUUCUUCUGCCUCAGCCUCCGGAGUAGCUAGGACUACAGGCAUGCACCACAACACCUGGCUAAUUUGUGUAUUUUUAGUAGAGAUGGGGUUUCUCCAUGUUGGCCAGGCUGGUCUCGAACUCCUGACCUCAGGUUAUCUGCCCGCCUUGGCCUCCCAAAGUGCUGGGAUUACAGGCAUGAGCCACUACGCCUGCCCUGGAUGCACCUUUUUAAAUUGUAGGUUUUAGUUUACAUAAUAAUUGUACAUAUUUUAUGGGGUACACGAUGAUGUUUCAACAUAUAAUGUAUAAUGAUGAGAUCUGGGUAAUUAGCAUAUCCAUCAUCUCAAACAUUUAUCAUUUCUUUGUGUUAGGAACCUUCAAUAUUCUCCUUCUACCUAUUUGAAACUAUAUAUUAUUGUUAACUGUAUUGUACUCAAUAUGUAUAUUGAAACUGUAUAUUACUGUUAACUGUAGUCAUCCUACAGUAUUAACUGUAGGGCAUUCUAAGUGCACUAGAACUUAAUUCUCUUAUCUAGCUGCAGUUUUGUAUGCUGAGCUUGCAGUGUCUUACAGUGCCAGAAAGAAGGAAGUACUCAGGAAGAACACACACACACACACACACACACACACACACACACACCCCACACACACACCCGAUGUGGUUAUUACAAAGGGACAUGGGAGCCAACUCAAAGACCUCCCAGUGGCCAAAGCUGGAACAAUGUGGGGCAAUAAAAAUAGAUGACGUGGCCAGGCACAGUGGCUCACACCUAUAAUCCUAGCAUUUUGGGAGGCUAAGGAGGGAGAAUCUCUUUAGCCCAGGAGUUCAAGACCAGCCUGGGCAACAUAGGGAGAACCCAUCUCUUAAAAAAAUUAAAAAUUAUCUCAUCUGAAGGCUCUAGGAGAUAAGAAAAAUAAUAAUAAAUUAAAAUUAAAAUUAAUUUAAAAAUUGGCCAGGCAUGGUGGCCCAUGUCUGUGGUCCCAGCUACUUGGGAGGCUGAGACAGGAGGAUCACUUGAGCCUGGGAAGUUGAAGCUACAGUGAGCUAUGAUCCCACCACUGCACCCCAGCGUGGGUGAUAGAGAGUGAAACUCUGUCUCAAAAAAGAAAAAAAUAGAUGAAGUGGUAUUGGAUUGUAAUUCAAAGUAUAAAAUAGAUAUCCAUGAGUUCAUAGUGAUAUAAACAAAUGAAUGAAUGAGGAAAGACAAAGCUCCUAUGCAGAAUUCUAAAUAAUGUAUGUAGAUACUCUGCCUUCAAGGAGAUGGAGUAUAACUCCCCUGUCCUUAAGUGUGGGCUGAGCAUAGUGACUUUCUUCCAAAAAAUACAAUUUGUAAAGGGACUGAGGAAAGAGUAAUUUUACAGACUGUCCGAGCCAGGCGACUGAGGUUAACAUCAGCAGUGAUCAUUCAUAUUGAAAGUAGGUACCCUUGAUAUGAUGUUAUGUGAAUGGUACUUGACUUCUAUGGUUCUAAAAAACCCAUCACCCAGUCUAAUCAUAAUUUUCUCAUGAGACAAAUUCCAAUUGGGGGACAUUCCACAGAAUACCUUAUCGGUACCCCUCAAAACUGUCAAGGUCAUCAAAAAUAAGGAAAGUCCAAGGAACUGUUGCAGCCAAGAGGAACCCAAGUAGAUGUGUUGGAUAAAUGUCAUAUGGUGUCCUGGACGGGAUCUUGAGACAAAAAAGAAGGACGUUAGGUAAAAACUAAGGACUUUUGAAUAUGGUGUGGGCUUUAUUUAUUUAUUUAUUUAUUUAUUUAUUUAUUGAGACAGGGUCUCACUCUGUUGCCCAGGCUGGACUUUUGAAUAAGGUGUGGGAUUUAUUUAUUUAUUUAUUUAUUUAUUUAUUUAUUUAUUUAUUUAUUUAUUGAGACAGGGUCUCACUCUGUUGCCCAGGCUGGAGUGCAGUGGCACGAUCACGGCUCACUACAGUUUGACCUCCUCAGGCUCAGGUGAUCCUCCUACCUCAGCCUCCCAAGUAGCUGGGACUACAGGCAUGUGCCACCAUGCCUGACAAAUUUUUGUAUUUUUUGUAGAUAACGGGGUUUUGCUAUGUUGCCCAGGCUUGUCUUGAAACUUCUGAGCUCAAGCAAUCCACCCACCUUGGUCUCCCAAAGUGCUGGGAUUACAGGCAUGAACCACUGCACCCGGCCCUGAAAUGUGGACUAUAGUUAGUAAUAAUGUAUCAAGACUUUUGUUUUUCAGUCUGGCAUGUAUCUUAGAAGUCAUCUGUCCCAUUCAUACAAGAAAAAAGCUGAACGAACUGAAAAUUAAUAACUCUUCUUAGACCCAUCAGAGAACUGAGGUCACAGGGCAAACUACUGCCCCCAACACUGGAGGGGCAGACUGGAAAAUACAGAGAAACAGAGGGGUGUGUGUGUGUGUGUGUGUGUGUGUAUGUGUGCAUGUGUGUGUGAUGGAGUCUUGCUGUGUCACCCAGUCUGGAGUGCAGUGACUCAAUCUCAGCUCACUGCAGCCUCCGCCUCCCAGGUUCAAGCGAUUCUUCUGCCUCAACCUCCCAAGUACAGGUGAACUGCCACCACACCUGGCUAAUUUUUGUAUUUUAAGUAGAGAUGAGGUUUCACCAUGUUGGCCAGGCUGGUCUCAAACUCCUGACCUCAGGUGAUCUGCCUGCCUCAGCCUCCCAAAGUGCUAGUAUUACAGACAUGAGCCACCACGCCCAGUCAGAGAAUCAGAAUUCUUUUUUUUUUUUUUUUUUGAGGUGGAAUUUUGCUCUUGUUGCCCAGGCUGGAGUGCAAUGGUGUGAUCUCGGCUCACUACAACCUCCACCUCCCGGGUUCAAGUGAUUUUCCUGCCUCAGCCUCCCUAGUAGCUGGGAUUACAGGCAUGUGCCACCACGCCCGGCUAAUUUUUGUAUUUUUAAUAGAGACAGGGUUUCACCAUGUUGGUCAGGCUGGUUUAGAACUCCUGACCUCAGGUGAUCCACCUGCCUUGGCCUCUCAAAGUGCUGAGAUUACAGGCCUGAGCCACCACGCCCGGCCAAGAAUCAGAAUUUACCGGAGCAGAAACCUCUGCAGCCUGGGAUAGGAGAACCUCAACUGUAAUUGCAGGAUUGCUAGAGGCUCAGCAUGGACAAGUUGUUUGUGAGUUUAAAACUCUGAAGGAGCCCAGUCUCAAUGGAGCACCCACACUUUUGUGAGUUUUACCUCUACCCCGUUCUCACAGUGAAAAUACGACAAAAAUCCUCUCAUGCUUCUGUCAGGGGAAAGGGGGAAAGUAGCCAUUUAGAAAUACACCUAGAGCAUUCUCUUCUUCCUAACAAGAGCAGCCCUCAAGGGAAACUAUUUCAUCAUAGCCUAACUGACAGGUUUUACCACAGCCUAACUGGGCUGGGGAAAGGAAAAUAUCCAACUCUGACCUCUUCUAGCCUUCUUGUCUCAUCUAAAGGGGGUAGUGGAGACUGAGAGGCACUUAUGAAGAUCACAGCUCAAGGGCACAGGCUCACUGAAAGACUGAGACCUGCGGGGCAUGGUGGCUCAUGCCUGUAAUCCCAGCACUUUGGGAGGCUAAGGCAAGCGGAUCACCUGAGGUCGGGAGUUCAAGACCAGCCUGACCAACAUGGAGAAAGCCCAUCUCUACUAAAAAUACAAAAUUAGCCGGGCGUGGUGGUGCAUGCCUGUCAUCCCAGCUACUUGGGAGGCUGAGGCAGAAGAAUUGCUUGAACCCAGGAGGCAGAGGUUGCCAUGAGCCGAGAUCGCACCAUUGCACUCCAGCCUAGGCAACAAGAGUGAAAUUUCACACCGUCUCAAAAAAAAAAAAAAAAAAAAAAAAAAAGACUGAGACCUACUCGUAGGACUUUAGAAUGCUUCCCCUUUCCUACAACUCAGGCAUCUGAACCAGACUCAGAUAUGGCAGGGAUGCUGGAAUGAUCAGACCAGGAAUUUAACAACUAUGACUAAUAUGCUAAGGGUGCUAAUGAAAAAGGUAGGCAACAUGCAAAAACAGAUGGGUAAUGUAAGCAGAGAGAUGGACAUUCCAAGAAUGAAUAAAAAAAUGCUAGAAAUAAAAAACAUUGUAACAAAAAUGAAGAAUGUCUUUAAUGGGCUUAUUAUACACUGGAUACAGCUGAGGAAAAAAAUCAGUGAGCUUGAAGAUAUGUCAAUAGAAACCCCCAAAACUGAAAUGUGGAGAAAAAAGACUGGGCCGGGCAGUGGCUCAUGCCUGUGACCCCACAACUUUGGGAGGUCGAGACCAGCCUGGGCAAUAUGGCAAUACCCCGUCUUUACAAAAACAAACAAACAAAAAUUAGCCAGGCAUGGUGGUGCACACCUGUAGUCUCAGCUACUU
rnacentral:lncRNA from 1 species